GGCUCGUUAGCUUAGUGGUAAGAGCGUCACACUGAUAUCAACCGUGAAGGUCGUUGGGUUCGAUUCCCACACGGGCCA